rnacentral:rRNA from 1 species
CCUACGGGUGGCAGCAGUGGGGGAUAUUGCACAAUGGGGGAAACCCUGAUGCAGCGACGCCGCGUGAGGGAAGACGGCCUUCGGGUUGUAAACCUCUGUCGCAGGGGACGAAGGAAGUGACGGUACCCUGUGAGGAAGCCACGGCUAACUACGUGCCAGCAGCCGCGGUAAUACGUAGGUGGCGAGCGUUGUCCGGAAUUACUGGGUGUAAAGGGAGCGUAGGCGGGAGUGCAAGUUGAAUGUAUAAACUAUCGGCUCAACUGAUAGAAGCGUUCAAAACUGCACUUCUUGAGUGAAGUAGAGGCAGGCGGAAUUCCUAGUGUAGCGGUGAAAUGCGUAGAUAUUAGGAGGAACACCAGUGGCGAAGGCGGCCUGCUGGGCUUUAACUGACGCUGAGGCUCGAAAGCGUGGGUAGCAAACAGGAUUAGAUACCCCUGUAGUC